rnacentral:lncRNA from 1 species
AUUAGUGUUGAAGAAGCACUUGAGUUAUGUCUCAAAAAACUCCUAAACAUCUAGCCAGGUCUUUGAAAAUAAGAGUCAAAAUUUACCUGUAUGACAAGAUUGACUGGUUAUUUACCCAGAUUAAUAAUCUAGUUCAGUCAAAAUCUUUAAUUAUAUCAAUGAUUCAGCAUUAAUGAGUUGUAUUUAACAGUUUUAUUGAGAUAUAAUUCAUAUACCAUGUAAUUAACCCAUUUGAAAUGUACAAUUUAGUGGUUUUUAGUAUAUUCUAGGAUUGUGCAACUAUCAGCCACUGUCAAAUUUUAGAAUCAUCUUGUCAUUCUAAGGGGAUGCCCCCAUAAUCCAGCAAUCCCACUUCUGGUAUGUAUCUAAAAUAAUCGGAAGCAGGAUCUUGAACAGACCCUUGCAUAUCCAUGUUCAUGGUGACAUUAUUCACAAUAGCCAAGAAGUGGAAGUAACCCAGUGUCUGCCAGCAGAUGAAUGUAUAAACAAAAUGUGAUGCACAUACAGAAUGGAAUAUUAUUCAGCCUUAAAAAGGAAAGAAAUACUAACAUGCUAUAAUAUAGAUGAGCACUAAGAAUAAAUAUUAUGCUGAGUGAAGUAAAGUCACAAAAAGGCAAAUACAGUAUGACUCCACUUAUAUGAGGAACUUAGAGUAGUCAAAGUCACAGAGACAGAAUAGUCAUCGCCAGGGUCUGAGGGCAGGAGGAAACAGGAAGUUGUUUAAUGGGUAGAGUUUCCUUUUUGCAAUCUAUGUUACAAUCUGUUUAGUACUAUCGGAGAUCUAUUUUACAAUGAUGUGGAGACCUAUUUUACAAUCAUGUGAAUCUACUUAAUACUACUGAACUGUACACUUAAAAACAAUUACAGUGGUAAAUUUUAGAUUAUGUGGCUUUUUUUAAACCACAAUUAAAAAUUUUAAGGAGGAAAACUCUACACCUAUUCCAUUCCUGUUCGCUCCACCCACAACCUUAAGCAAUCACCACCCUAUUUUCUGUCUCUAGAGAUGCAUCUGUUCUGGACUUUUCAUAUAAAUGGAAUCAUACGAUAUAUAGAAUUUUUGGUGUAGUAGAAUGUUUUUAAGAUUUUUCCAUGUUACAACAUGUAUCAAUACUUCAUUGCUUCUUUUUGCCCAGUAAUACUCCAUCCACUCUGUGGAUAACACAUUUUAUUUACUCAUUCAGCAAUUGAUGAACAUUUGGGCUGUUUCUAUUAAUUGGCUAUUAUGAAUUCUGCUGCUAUGAACAUUUAUUGACAAAUUUUUCUAUGGACAUAUGUUUUCAUUUCUCUUGGGCAUGAAUACCUAGGAGUGUAUAUGCUGGGUCCUGGUAGCUCUAUGUUGAACAUUUUGAGGAAUUGAAAACUUUUCCAAAGUGGCUGCACCAUUUUAUAUUCCUGCCUAUGGUAUAUAACGGUUCAGAUUUCUUCACAUUUACCAACAUGUGUCCUUACCUGUCUCUUUGAUUAUAGCCAUCCCACUGGGUGUAAAGUGGUACCUCAACUUACACCAACUGGGUGUAAAGUGGUUUUAAUUUGCAUUUUCCCAAUGGCUAAUAAUGUUGAGCAUCUUUUCAUUUGCUUUUCAGCCCUUUGUAUAUCUUUGGAGAACUAUCUUUUCAGAUCCUUUACCUGUUUUGUAGUUGGGUUAUUUAUCUUUUGAUAAUUGAGUUACGAGGGGUAGUAUAUUCUACAUACAGGCCCCUUCU